GUGCCAGCAGCCGCGGUAAUACGUAGGUGGCAAGCGUUGUCCGGAUUUAUUGGGCGUAAAGCGAGCGCAGGCGGUUUCUUAAGUCUGAUGUGAAAGCCCCCGGCUCAACCGGGGAGGGUCAUUGGAAACUGGGAGACUUGAGUGCAGAAGAGGAGAGUGGAAUUCCAUGUGUAGCGGUGAAAUGCGUAGAUAUAUGGAGGAACACCAGUGGCGAAGGCGGCUCUCUGGUCUGUAACUGACGCUGAGGCUCGAAAGCGUGGGGAGCGAACAGGAUUAGAUACCCUGGUAGUCCACGCCGUAAACGAUGAGUGCUAAGUGUUGGAGGGUUUCCGCCCUUCAGUGCUGCAGCAAACGCAUUAAGCACUCCGCCUGGGGAGUACGACCGCAAGGUUGAAACUCAAAGGAAUUGACGGGGGCCCGCACAAGCGGUGGAGCAUGUGGUUUAAUUCGAAGCAACGCGAAGAACCUUACCAGGUCUUGACAUCCUUUGACCACUCUAGAGAUAGAGCUUCCCCUUCGGGGGCAAAGUGACAGGUGGUGCAUGGUUGUCGUCAGCUCGUGUCGUGAGAUGUUGGGUUAAGUCCCGCAACGAGCGCAACCCUUAUUGUUAGUUGCCAUCAUUUAGUUGGGCACUCUAGCGAGACUGCCGGUGACAAACCGGAGGAAGGUGGGGAUGACGUCAAAUCAUCAUGCCCCUUAUGAC
rnacentral:rRNA from 1 species